UACGAAGGGGGCUAGCGUUGUUCGGAAUUACUGGGCGUAAAGCGCACGUAGGCGGAUAUUUAAGUCAGGGGUGAAAUCCCAGAGCUCAACUCUGGAACUGCCUUUGAUACUGGGUAUCUUGAGUAUGGAAGAGGUGAGUGGAAUUCCGAGUGUAGAGGUGAAAUUCGUAGAUAUCCGGAGGAACACCAGUGGCGAAGGCGGCUCACUGGCUCGGUACUGACGCUGAGGUGCGAAAGCGUGGGGAGCAAACAGG
rnacentral:rRNA from 1 species